rnacentral:rRNA from 1 species
UACGUAGGUCCCGAGCGUUGUCCGGAUUUAUUGGGCGUAAAGCGAGCGCAGGCGGUUUAAUAAGUCUGAAGUUAAAGGCAGUGGCUUAACCAUUGUUCGCUUUGGAAACUGUUAAACUUGAGUGCAGAAGGGGAGAGUGGAAUUCCAUGUGUAGCGGUGAAAUGUGUAGAUAUAUGGAGGAACACCGGUGGCGAAAGCGGCUCUCUGGUCUGUAACUGACGCUGAGGCUCGAAAGCGUGGGGAGCAAACAGG